CACGUAGGGUGCGAGCGUUGUCCGGAAUUAUUGGGCGUAAAGAGCUCGUAGGCGGUGUGUCGCGUCGGCCGUGAAAACUUGCAGCUUAACUGUGGGCGUGCGGUCGAUACGGGCAUCACUGGAGUUCGGCAGGGGAGACUGGAAUUCCUGGUGUAGCGGUGAAAUGCGCAGAUAUCAGGAGGAACACCGGUGGCGAAGGCGGGACUCUGGGCCGAUACUGACGCUGAGGAGCGAAAGCGUGGGGAGCAAACAGG
rnacentral:rRNA from 1 species